UUUUUUUUUAAAACUGAACCGUAGAAACUAAACCGAAACCAACUGCUGUGGGGUGGUUGAUCCUAUUAAGGGUAUUUUGGUCUAAAAACCAUUCAAAAGACAAAUGGUGAAAACCACAUCUCACUUUGCUAAAUCAUGAGAGCAAUUCUUUUUUUAGCCACUUCUGUGAAAAUUUCUUUAAUAAUAAUCUAUGAGUUUUGCUCAAGAUAAUUUAUAGAAGAUUGGAAAAGCAAUAAAAGUACAAUAUAAUAAUGCAACAUGUUGGAGAUACUUUAUAAAAGUU
rnacentral:sRNA from 1 species